UUAACCUUCAGAAGUUUUACACUUUGAUGUAGUCAAGGCAGUCAGUCUCUCUAUGGGGAUUUCUCUGUUGCUUUAUGCACAGAAAGUUCCAGAGGUUUUAUAAGAAGAGCAAGUGCCUAAGCAAGGGCCCAAGUUUGAGGAAUUCAGAUUAGAAGGAAGAGGAAGCAGACGUCCUUGUUGGAAACUGACGGAGGGAGUCACGGGUGUGAUCAAGGCCAGGCGCAACAGCAGCACAGGGUGAGGAUGUCCCGGGCAUGGUUCCCUUGGCCUGCCAUUGUCCUCAUGGUGCUGCCAUGGUAUUAAUGGUAUUCAUACCUUCCUAGUGGGUUGGGAAAGUAUUACUACCUUAGGACAUGUCAAAGGAAAGCAGGUCAGAGCCAUUUGCCAGGCACUGACUUUCAAGGAGAGGAUGUUGCCGACCACGAUGAGGAGCUGUGUUCUUGAGGGUCUCAGCCCAGCCUCAAUUUCCAUGGAGGACAGGACCAGCCAGCUCUGGUCCUACCACGCUUCUCCACCCCCUGCCACAAGAAUUAGGUGCAAAGCCAUGACUACAGCACAGAAGUUGUCCCAGGUCGCUCAGCUAUACCUGGCAAGAUCCAGAUGAGGACCCAGGUGGCCCGGCUCUAGAGCCCCUGAAGGGAACCGGGACGCCCUGCGGUCUCCCAGCCCCUGGUGGAGGGAGGGUGUCCAUGGGCUGGGCGUGGGCACGUGUGAGGCAGGGCUGGGACCUCCACGUCUGGUACCCGGGGGAGGAGCCUGAGCCAGGGAUUCUGAUUCCAACAAGGAAGGACUUCAUGGGGUGUGGAGAUGCUGCUGCCCAGAACUUUCUCAUAAGGCAAGUCCCUCCUCUGCCCUGUUGCAGGGCUGGAAGAGGACAAUUUUAGUAGCAGCAGAUCUGCGUGGGCCCCAGAUGAAUGGCAGGGGGCCAGCUCACCAAGUACGGACAGAGCUGGGGAAACACUGAAACAGAGGCUGUUAGAACAUAACCUUACAUGCAAGGAAGGCUGAGGUGGUUUGGGUUAUGUGACAUUUGUCAGCAUGAGGCCAUCCCCCAGGAGGACGAAGGACAAGGUGCCAAUCCAGGCUUCGAGAGGCACAGGCAUGCUGACAAAGAACAGAGAGGGGCUGCCUCCCCUUGCAGCAGGACCCUAGUGGCCUACCUGGAGGAGGGGGCCCUGGAAUGUGGAGUGGAGACAAGUGGGGAAAGGAGUGGGGUGAAGCAACUCAGGGAGAGAUAUGGGACCAGCAGCAAGUGACCCGGGCUUACUCACUGGUGGACUGCCGGAUUCCAGGAAGCAUUUGUGAGCCUGAGUGUCUGCGUGUUUUUAUAAACUUCCCCACUUCCAACUUGGGAUCAAGACUUAUUUGGCAAAGAAUGUUGCCUUGGGGAAGGAGGCUGACUGCCUGGAGACGGGAACGAGUAGGUGAAUUCGUUCCUCAGAGGUCUAAAUAUGGCUUAUUUCUCCAGGGCUCUGGUAUUUUUCUAAGAUAAAUAAUUGAAUUGCUGAAACUGUGAAAGUGAGCCCUUGUGCAAACUCUGGAAGAUUCUUAGUGUGUAAGUCUGGGAGUCUGUGUCAGUUAAAGCUUAUGUAUGUAUAACUGAUUUUUUUUUUUUGAGGAAGAUUAGCCCUGAGCUAACAUCUGCUGCCAAUCCUCCUCUUUUUGCUGAG